GAUGAACGCUAGCGGCAGGCUUAACACAUGCAAGUCGAGGGGCAGCGCGAUGUAGCAAUACAUUGGCGGCGACCGGCGCACGGGUGCGUAACACGUAUGGAACUUACCCUUUACUGGGAGAUAGCCCGGAGAAAUCCGGAUUAAUAUCCCAUAAUAAACGAAGUGGCAUCACUUUGUUUUGAAAGCUCCGGCGGUAAAGGAUGGCCAUGCGCACGAUUAGCUAGUAGGUGAGGUAACGGCUCACCUAGGCUACGAUCGUUAGGGGGCCUGAGAGGGUUAUCCCCCACACUGGUACUGAGACACGGACCAGACUCCUACGGGAGGCAGCAGUGAGGAAUAUUGCGCAAUGGAGGCAACUCUGACGCAGCCAUGCCGCGUGCAGGAAGAAGGCGCUACGCGUUGUAAACUGCUUUUAAACCGGGAAGAAACCCUCCGACGUGUCGGAGGUUGACGGUACCGGAGGAAUAAGCACCGGCUAACUUCGUGCCAGCAGCCGCGGUAAAGUAUCG
rnacentral:rRNA from 1 species